rnacentral:rRNA from 1 species
GACGAACGCUGGCGGCGUGCUUAACACAUGCAAGUCGAACGGAAAGGCCCUGCUUUUGUGGGGUGCUCGAGUGGCGAACGGGUGAGUAACACGUGAGUAACCUGCCCUUGACUUUGGGAUAACUUCAGGAAACUGGGGCUAAUACCGGAUAGGAGCUCCUGCUGCAUGGUGGGGGUUGGAAAGUUUCGGCGGUUGGGGAUGGACUCGCGGCUUAUCAGCUUGUUGGUGGGGUAGUUGCUUACCAAGGCUUUGACGGUUAGCCGGCCUGAGAGGGUGACCGGCGACAUUGGGACUGAGAUACGGCCCAGACGCCUACGGGAGGCAGCAGUGGGGAAUAUUGCACAAUGAGCGGAAGCCUGAGGCAGCAAUGCCGCGUGCGGGAUGACGGCCUUCGGGUUGUAAACCGCUUUCGCCUGUGACGAAGAGUGAGUGACGGUAAUGGGUAAAGAAGCACCGGCUAACUACGUG